GAUGAACGCUGGCGGCGUGCCUAAUACAUGCAAGUCGAGCGAACAGACGAGGAGCUUGCUCCUCUGACGUUAGCGGCGGACGGGUGAGUAACACGUGGAUAACCUACCUAUAAGACUGGGAUAACUUCGGGAAACCGGAGCUAAUACCGGAUAAUAUAUUGAACCGCAUGGUUCAAUAGUGAAAGACGGUUUUGCCGUCACUUAUAGAUGGAUCCGCGCCGCAUUAGCUAGUUGGUAAGGUAACGGCUUACCAAGGCAACGAUGCGCAGCCGACCUGAGAGGGUGAUCGGCCACACUGGAACUGAGACACGGUCCAGACUCCUACGGGAGGCAGCAGUAGGGAAUCUUCCGCAAUGGGCGAAAGCUUGACGGAGCAACGCCGCGUGAGUGAUGAAGGUCUUCGGAUCGUAAAACUCUGUUAUUAGGGAAGAACAAAUGUGUAAGUAACUAUGCACGUCUUGACGGUACCUAAUCAGAAAGCCACGGCUAACUACGUG
rnacentral:rRNA from 1 species